rnacentral:rRNA from 1 species
UGCCAGCACCAGGGGUUAUGCCAGCUCCGGUUGCUUUUCCAGAUGCUGAUGCUGAUGUUGAUGCUCGGACUGAUUCAAAGCUUGAUAGCACUAAGGGUUCUGAGACAAAUUUUGAUAUUAGCCUUUAUGAGAGAAAACUGCGUGAUUCUUAUCCUCAAUCAUCGCCUUUUUCUGUUAAUUCAGCACAGGCGGAUGCCUUUGGACAAAAUUCAACACUCGAUUUUUCAUUUAUGUCUGACUUCAGCUACCACUUUUCCAAGCUUAACAAUG